GAUGAAGAACGUAGCGAAAUGCGAUAAGUAGUGUGAAUUGCAGAAUUCAGUGAAUCAUCGAAUCUUUGAACGCACAUUGCGCCCCUUGGUAUCCCGAGGGGCAUGCCUGUUCGAGCGUCAUUUCACCACUCAAGCCUGGCUUGGUGUUGGGCGACGUCCUCUUUGGGGACGCGCCUCGAAACGCUCGGCGGCGUGGCACCGGCUUUAAGCGUAGCAGAAUCUUUCGCUUUGGAAGUCGGGGCCCCGUCUGCCGGAAGACCUGCUCGCAAGGUUGACCUCGGGUCAGGCAGGGAUACCCGCUGAACUUAAGCAUAUCAAUAAGCGGAGGA
rnacentral:misc_RNA from 1 species